CCGCUUUACGACACCUCUGGCUGCUUAUUGGACACGGCACAUAUUUCUCCGCAUGAAGAGUUUUGGUAUGAAAGAAGCCGCUUUUUGUUUCUCCAAUGCAGCAUUUCCCAGACGUUGAGCUUUCCAAUAGACUGAAAAUCCCAAUCCUAGGUUUAGGAACAUCGCACAAUGGUGGCUACUCCCACGAUGCAGUCGUCUACGCGCUCCAGCAGUGCGGCAUCAGGCACAUAGACACGGCUAAAAGAUACGGCUGUGAAGAAGCCUUGUGUAAGUCAAUCGUGGAGAGCCGAGUCCCACGUGAAGAUCUGUGGAUCACCACCAAGCUGUGGCCAGGGGAUUAUGGGUAUCAGAGCGCCAAGGAGGCCUGUCGGGCCUCGUGUGCCAGACUCGGGGUCGAGUAUUUAGAUCUGUACCUAAUGCACUGGCCUGACUGCGGCGUUCCGGGCCGCUCCAACAGGGACGUCCGAGCCGACACAUGGAGAGCUCUGGAGGAGAUGUACGACGAAGGAUUGUGCCGUUCCAUCGGCGUGAGCAACUUCCUGAUCCCACAUCUCGAGGAACUGAAAGAGGACGGUGGCGUGAUGCCUCACGUUAACCAGGUGGAGUUUCAUCCGUUUCAGCAGCCGUGGCAGCUGGUGGAGUUUUGCCGCAGUGAGGGCGUAGCGUUUGAGGGUUACUGCCCUCUAGCUAAGGGUCAAGCGCUCCAUCAUCCACUCAUCGUGGAACUGGCGCAGAAGUACGGACGCAGUGCUUCACAGAUCUGCAUCCGCUGGAGCAUUCAGAAUCGGAUCAUCACCAUCCCAAAGUCUACCAAACCUGAUAGGAUUCUUGAAAACUGCCAAACUGCCUCUGCAUGCACAGGUGUUUGGGUUCCAGCUGGAAGACACUGACAUGGCUGCCAUGCACGCGUUGCAUGAUGGGAGGCGCGUGAGCUGGGACCCAACCCACGUGGAGUGAGCACGCUGGUGUCUUUGGGUUCACGCUGGCUGAAGAGGACAUGGAGAGUAUCGGGCGACUACAUGCAGACAAAAAGCUUAUUCAUCUCAGCUACCCGCUCUGGAACGGAUAACGAGAACGGGGCAGCGGGUUCGGCUUUGUGAAUUUUUAGACAUACCCUAGAUCUCCUGCGCACAUCACACAGGAUGGCUCCGUGGAGCACAUUAUGUCCCAAAUUCUGAUCAUUCUGAUUUCCCUGAUUAACAAGACAAAUGAACCAGGUCAUGUAGCUGGCUUGGAAAUUGGAAAGAUGAGAAGAUUUACAGAAGAUUUAUUUGAGAAGAUUUACAGUUACAUCUAGAGUGUGAACCAGUUUGGUUCAUCCUUUUGGGAAACCCCAUGGAGGAAUUUUCUAGAAUCCUUCAACUUUUUUUACUUCAAAAAGUUUAGCUCACGAAGGAACGCUUGAAGAACCACCAGCGUUAUUGCUUUUGGGCAUGGCAUCUUCUCCGUAAGCCAUCAGACGGUCGAUCUUACACUCAGGUGGCCAUGUGUGAGGUGUUGAGUCUAUUUUUUCCCCAGAUGUCAAAGAAAUUAAAUGCAUCUAAGCUACUUUCGGACAAAAGUCAGUAAUAGCUAUAGCUAUGCAAGUGCAAGCACAAUGUCACUCAUUUAAUGAAACAUUUCAAAUCCUGUAUUUUAUAAUGAAAUAAAUCCGCACAGACUUAAGUGUCAAUAUUGUUUAA